UCUUGGCAUUGAUCUCUAGAGAUUGGUGUUAAGGCCACACGCUCUUUUGUCGGGACUUUCCUUUUGAGAAGUUAUGAAAUGCAGUUGUGACCUUGAGUAAGACUUUAUUGUCUGAAAAUCGAAAUAACAGUGAAGAUUAGACAAAAAAGCUAUAAGAU
rnacentral:sRNA from 12 species